AAGGAUUCCCCUAGUAACGGCGAGUGAAGAGGGAAAAGCUCAAAUUUGAAAUCUGGCGGCCUACGGUCGUCCGAGUUGUAAUCUAGAGAAGUGUUUUCCGCGCUGGACCGUGUACAAGUCCUUUGGAACAAGGCGUCAUAGAGGGUGAGAAUCCCGUCUACGACACGGACUACCAGUGCUUUGUGAUACACUCUCAACGAGUCGAGUUGUUUGGGAAUGCAGCUCAAAAUGGGUGGUAAAUUCCAUCUAAAGCUAAAUACAGGCGAAAGACCGAUAGCGAACAAGUACCGUGAGGGAAAGAUGAAAAGCACUUUGGAAAGAGAGUUAAACAGUACGUGAAAUUGUUGAAAGGGAAACGCUUGAAGUCAGUCGCGUCUUCAGAAAUUCAGCCUUGCUUUUUUGCCUGGCGUACUUUUCUGUGGGACGGGCCAGCAUCAGUUUCGGCCGCCAGAAAAAGGUGGGAGGAAGGUGACACCUCCGGGUGUGUUAUAGCCUCUCAUCGUAUGUGGCGGCUGGGACUGAGGAAUGCAGCACGCCUUCAUGGCCGGGGUUCGCCCACGUAACGUGCUUAGGAUGCUGGCGUAAUGGCUUUAA
rnacentral:rRNA from 1 species